CCCUUAGAUGUUCUGGGCCGCACGCGUGCUACACUGAUGCAUUCAACGAGUCUAAAACCUGGUCUGAUAGGGCUGGGUAAUCUUUUGAAAGUGCAUCGUGAUUGGGAUAGAUGAUUGCAAUUCUUCAUCUUCAACGAGGAAUGCCUAGUAAACGCAAGUCAUCAGCUUGCAUUGAUUACGUCCCUGCCCUUUGUACACACCGCCCGUCGCUCCUACCGAUUGAAUGAUCCGAUGAAUACCAUGGAUUGAGAGUACGAAUAGUUUCGCUUAUUUCUGCUGCUCGAGAAGUGGAGUAAAUCUUAUCAUUUAGAGGAAGGAGAAGUCGUAACA
rnacentral:rRNA from 1 species